rnacentral:rRNA from 1 species
GACGAACGCUGGCGGCAUGCCUAAUACAUGCAAGUCGAGCGAACAGAUGAAGUGCUUGCACUUCUGACGUUAGCGGCGAACGGGUGAGUAACACGUAAGGAAUCUACCUAUAAGCGGGGGAUAACAUUCGGAAACGGGUGCUAAUACCGCAUAAUAUCUUCUUCCGCAUGGAAGAAGAUUGAAAGACGGCACUGCUGUCACUUAUAGAUGACCUUGCGGUGCAUUAGUUAGUUGGUGGGGUAAUGGCCUACCAAAACGAUGAUGCAUCGACGACCUAAGAUGGUGAUCGGCCAAAUUGGGACUGAGACACGGCCCAAACUCCUACGGGAGGCAGCAGUAGGGAAUCUUCCGCAAUGGGCGAAAGCCUGACGGAGCAAUGCCGCGUGAGUGAAGAAGGCCUUCGGGCCGUAAAACUCUGUUAUAAGAGAAGAACAAAUUGUAGAGUAACUGCUACAGUCUUGACGGUAUCUUAUCAGAAAGCCACGGCUAACUACGUGCCAGCCGCCGCGGUAA